rnacentral:rRNA from 1 species
UACGGAGGAUGCAAGCGUUAUCCGGAAUGAUUGGGCGUAAGCGUCCGCAGGUGGCAAUGUAAGUCUGCUGUCAAAGCGUCUGGCUCAACCAGAUAAAGGCAGUGGAAACUACAUAGCUAGAGUAAGGUAGGGGUAGAGGGAAUUCCUGGUGUAGCGGUGAAAUGCGUAGAUAUCGGGAGGAACACCAGUGGCGAAGGCGACUACCUGGCCUGUUCUUGACGCUGAGGCGCGAAAGCUAGGGGAGCAAAGC